rnacentral:rRNA from 1 species
UUUCCUACGGGACGCAGCAGUGGGGAAUAUUGCACAAUGGGGGAAACCCUGAUGCAGCAACGCCGCGUGAGUGAAGAAGUAUUUCGGUAUGUAAAGCUCUAUCAGCAGGGAAGAAGAUGACGGUACCUGACCAAGAAGCCCCGGCUAACUACGUGCCAGCAGCCGCGGGAAUACGUAGGGGGCAAGCGUUAUCCGGAUUUACUGGGUGUAAAGGGAGCGCAGACGGCAGUGCAAGUCUGGAGUGAAAGCCCGGGGCCCAACCCCGGAACUGCUCUGGAAACUGUGCGGCUAGAGUACUGUACGGG